rnacentral:rRNA from 1 species
UACGAAGGGGGCUAGCGUUGCUCGGAAUCACUGGGCGUAAAGGGUGCGUAGGCGGGUCUUUAAGUCAGGGGUGAAAUCCUGGAGCUCAACUCCAGAACUGCCUUUGAUACUGAAGAUCUUGAGUUCGGGAGAGGUGAGUGGAACUGCGAGUGUAGAGGUGAAAUUCGUAGAUAUUCGCAAGAACACCAGUGGCGAAGGCGGCUCACUGGCCCGGUACUGACGCUGAGGUGCGAAAGCGUGGGGAGCAAACAGGGAG